AGGGGGUUUGAGUCGAUGUCAAACAAACUCGAAGAUCUGAGCAGUCGUGUACAACGUAUGGAGGAGGAGUUGCAGAAAAUUCAAAAAAAUCAACCUGAGUUUCCUCUUUUCUCAGCUGAGGAAUCCAAAGAGAUACCUUUUGACCAAAACUUAGGUCUACCUGAGAUGCCUUUUGACAAAAACUUAGGUCUACCUGAGAUACCUUUUGACCAAAAUUUAGGUCUACCUGACUUCCCUGAGAAUUUUAAAGAUCUUAAAGUCUUUCGGGAGUGGAAGAAGUGUGUAGAUUCAUGUUUUAAGUAUCAUAAAAUCCCUCGCGAAAGGCAAGGACAACUUGUAGCCGAGACAUUCCCAAAGAAUUUCCCAUGGUGGGAAC
rnacentral:lncRNA from 1 species